rnacentral:misc_RNA from 1 species
UUUCCGUAGGUGAACCUGCGGAAGGACCAUUAUUGUAUAACCGAGGUGCGAGGGCUGUCGCUGACCCGAAAGGUCGUGCACGCCCGAGUGCCCUCACACACAUCCAUCUCACCCCUAUGUGCACCACCGCGUGGGUCCCCCUUCGGGAUCAUCUCGGAGGGGGGCUCGCGUUUUCACACAAACCCCCCUUUUAAAAGUGUAGAAUGACCACAUUUAUGCAAUCAAUACAACUUUCAACAACGGAUCUCUUGGCUCUC